UUCACAAUCUCCUGGAUUUUAUCAGUAUACUCUUGAAUCUUUUCUUUCACGAACCCGGAUUUUGCACGAACACGAUUCCUUCUUUUUUUUUUCUUUCUUCACGAACCCGAUCUUUACACGAACGUUUCUGCAGCGGAAUUGGUUUCGAGCACAAAGUUUGCACGAAACGAUUUCUCUAAAAUAGAACACUCAGGACCUUGGCUCUGAUACUAUGUUGGAAUAUUGAGAUUUUUCUUAAAACUUCUCUCUUUAUUAAUUUUUUUUUUCUUUCUCUCUUUGAUAGAUAUUGUGUUUCUGAUAUAGAAUACAUUAAACCUUAAUUCUAAAGUUGUAAUUCUAAACAAGAAUAGUAAAUGACUAGUUCUUCAUGAUUUCCUUUUUACCUAAUUUCCUUUCUCCAUUUGCUCUUUCUUGAUGAUUUCCUUUUUGUUUGCUUUUCUCCUUUUCUUCUUUUCUUCUUCUUUGAUUUUCCUUUUUACUUAGUAUUCCUUUUUCUUUGACAAAUGAAUCUGUUCCAAUAAACCCUAGAGAGGUCGAUUAUGAAGUUUGGUUAUUCCUCUUACUAAAUUCGAUCUGUGUUUUAAACAACUGGAAAAAUAGCAAUGUCGAAGCCGAUCCUGCUUGUCUUUCUACUGAUUAUACUUAUAGUCACCUCUCAGUUUGAAUGGAGACAACCACUUGUUGAGCUGAGACGAUAGUACUGAAGUUAUCAUCUGCAAGAACCAUAUCAGAAGCUUCUUUUGCAACCUGAAAUUGUACAACAUCAUACAGUAACUGAUGCAGUAACCAGCUUGUAACAGAAACAAUAGCAAAUCUCAGACAGGGAGCAAGCUGUGAAAGAGAAGGUACUGAUUCCAAACUCUUUUAUUAAAAAA